rnacentral:rRNA from 1 species
GAGGCUUUGGCGGCAGCUUACCAUGCAGUCGAACGGCAGCACGGGGGCAACCCUGGUGGCGAGUGGCGAACGGGUGAGUAAUACAUCGGAACGUGUCCUGUAGUGGGGGAUAGCCCGGCGAAAGCCGGAUUAAUACCGCAUACGCUCUACGGAGGAAAGGGGGGGAUCUUAGGACCUCUCGCUACAGGGGCGGCCGAUGGCAGAUUAGCUAGUUGGUGGGGUAAAGGCCUACCAAGGCGACGAUCUGUAGCUGGUCUGAGAGGACGACCAGCCACACUGGGACUGAGACACGGCCCAGACUCCUACGGGAGGCAGCAGUGGGGAAUUUUGGACAAUGGGCGCAAGCCUGAUCCAGCAAUGCCGCGUGUGUGAAGAAGGCCUUCGGGUUGUAAAGCACUUUUGUCCGGAAAGAAAACGUCGUGGUUAAUACCCGUGGCGGAUGACGGUACCGGAAGAAUAAGCACCGGCUAACUACGUGCCAGCAGCCGCGGUAAUACGUAGGGUGCAAGCGUUAAUCGGAAUUACUGGGCGUAAAGCGUGCGCAGGCGGUUCGCUAAGACAGAUGUGAAAUCCCCGGGCUUAACCUGGGAACUGCAUUUGUGACUGGCGGGCUAGAGUAUGGCAGAGGGGGGUAGAAUUCCACGUGUAGCAGUGAAAUGCGUAGAGAUGUGGAGGAAUACCGAUGGCGAAGGCAGCCCCCUGGGCCAAUACUGACGCUCAUGCACGAAAGCGUGGGGAGCAAACAGGAUA